rnacentral:lncRNA from 1 species
ACUACAAAACCAGAGUUGUAACUAUGCUUCUUCCUUUGAGAUUCUUUGCUUAGAAUAAACUCUUCUACUUGUGGAGAAAGUCUCAAUAAGAUCUCAUCCUUUCUCUUAAUUAGUCCCUCUACUUGAUUCUGUAAUUCAGGUAUGUAUUUUAGGACUCUUGAAAUUGUUGCUGGAAUGCUCAAUUUCUUCUGAAACAUUUAUGUAUAAAUUAAUACUAACACAGUAUAUUGUGAUAUCCAAAAAGUUCAUCACAACUAGGCAAUUAAAAAGUAAAAAAUUAACAAAAGCUUAGAGAAGGGACUGAUUACUUACCAUUUGAUCAAAAACAGGAAGAAGUGAACGAAGUGAGGAAUACAAAUUAUUGAUCUUCUUGCGGCGAUCGCGUUCGCUAGCAUUAUGAACAAGCUUCUUGACCAUGCUAAGGUCACUGCUUGUGGAUUGUGAGGGAUCUGUUGAAUUAAUUUCUGCCUCAACUUGAUCAUGAAAAUUAAAUAAUUGAUUCUGAUGCUGGUUAUGACUUAAAGACUCUUCAAAGGGCCAUCCAAUUGUUGAAAACAUAGGAGGAGAUAUCGCUAACAUAAUGUUGAUGUAGCAGUUGAAAACAGUUGAUUAUGAAGUUUUCUAUACAACAUUAAUUAUAUAUAUAACCUAACUAUCAUGGUAUGCACCCUCUACGCAAGCAUUCUACUAUAUUUUAUUGUUAGGAAAUAAAAAAGAUAAAUAUAUUUUUGGUCCCAACAAAUAUAGUAUUUCACUUUUUUCAAUGUUUAUAAAAUUGAUUUCCUAAUUUUACGGACAUUUAAUUUAUCAAUUGUCACAAAAUAACUCAUCAACUGACAUAAAAUCCACACAACAGUUAAAUCAUUUGUGUUAAUCGAAAGACAAAUAAAUUUGAAUAUUUUAAAAAUAAAUUAGUUCAUCAAAAUUGAUAUCGAAUAUAAGAGUUUAAAAAUUAUACUUUAAGAUCACAAGUCAUCAUUACCAUAUCAAAUCAAGUGGGUGUGUAGGAAAAAAUAUUAUUAAAGGACAUAGUCCUUUUCUUCAUGUAGAUAAUCUAAGACAUUAUUAUAACCGGGAUGACUAUGAUAAGCCAUUAAAUUAUUGUGUCACUUAAGAAUUAGUUAAAAUGCGCAUGCAAGAGUGUGUCUGCAAUGUGGCAUCUAUGUUCUUGUGUGUAUCAAAAGGAAGAUGACACGGACAAAAAACGUGACAUGGAUAAAGAAGUGAAUAAAAAACGAAAUUACACGUUCCAUAAUUAUUUAUUAAUUUGUUGAUGGGUUGUUUGUCGAACCCCAGACAGCACCAAAAAAAUAUUGAUAGGUUUAGCUUAAUCGAUGAACUGGAACUCGAAAUCACACAACGCAUUCUACACACCGAAAUUCACAGUUGAUGCUUCAUGUGGUUUUUUCUCCAUUCUCCCUUUUUCGAAUUGUGUUGACGAGUCCUUCUCCUUUUUCUACUCCUUCUGUCCCUUCGGAAUUAAGAGUGUUCUUAAGACCAUAUAGUCUUUUUUCGGUAUAUUGUUCAUUCGGAAUCAAGAAUGGUCUUAAGAGCAUAGUCCCUUCAAUUAUUUAUGUCUCUUUAGAAUAAAUAAUAAUUUAAGAUCAUAGUACCUUUUCGGUAUAAUAAGAAUGAUUUUAAACAUAUAUAUUAUUCUUCUAUUCAUGGAGAAGUUAAAUGUUAGAAUGGUCGUAGCACCAUAUUUGAGUGGUUGAAAUACCAUAUUGAUAUUUGAAGAAGUUAAAAAUUAGAAUGGUGGUAACACCAGAUUUGAGUGGUCUCAAUACCAUAAUAGAGUGGCUACAGUACCAUAUUUGUUUCAGUAUUAAAAGAGUGGUCUUAGUACCAUAUUGAAGGUGUAAUUCUCGAACGGUUUUCUACAGUGCAGUAGUUAACCGCAGCUGGACUUGUUUUAUUCUGGAGGCGGCGUGGUUGAUAGUCUGCCUUGCACAAUUUUAGGCAGUGCCACGAAAUGUCUUAAAAGAGCGACCUGAUCGUGACUCAACCUAGUAACAACUUCGCUAGAAAAUAGAAUUUAGAAAACCAACAUACAACAGUUUGGAAAUCCAAAAACAAUAAAAGUGGUAGAUUAUUUUCGCUCCACUGUGUGCUUAGUUUGUAUUUUAAAGACUCUCAUAUUGAGUUUAAAAAUCAAAAUGUAUCAACCACGUUAUUAUGAAUGAAUAGCCAUAAGCAGUAUCGAAAAUAAGCGGUCUUUUGUCAAGAAAAAAAUAUAAAUACAUAAAUCACAUAACUUGACUUAGAAACUGUAUGCAUUCGAAAAAUUGAGAAAUCGAUUUAUCUGUCUGGAAAAUAUUGAUUAAUUGGAAAAAGUAUAAGAAUGGGUAAUUAUACGAACGGUAAAAAUAUCAAUAAUUGAAAUUAGACAAUCUCUAUGAGUUUAGGUCUGGGGUUCGAACCCCAGACACCACCAAAAAAAUAUUGAUAAGUUUAGCUUAAUCGAUGAACUAGAACUCGAAUUUCUAAAGCUAUAUAGUUGACUUAAUGAUGCUUUUCUUGAAGAUAUUUUAUCUAAAAAAAUAAAAAUUUCAUCAUUUAUUAAAUCCGUCAAAACUCGAUCCAACAAACUCUGAUGUUAAGUCGGUUUUUUUUUUUUUUUAAGGAGAUGUCAAGGCUUGACAUCUACCUUCAACAAGAUGUCCAAGCCUUUGUUGAAGGCAUGUUUUUAUGACAAAGAACCAAGACCCAUAUUUAACACCUACAAAUAGUUAUGAAAAAAAAGAAGAAGAAGAGAAUACUAUAUAAUUGCUUGAGACAUACACAGUACACUUGGCACACACAUGUAAGGAGAGUUGACAAUAUUGCUAAGGAGAAUAGAAAAUGCAAUAUACCUCAAACAUACUACACGAGCCAAUGCAUGGCAUACACGAGAAUAUACGAAACAUGAUGCAUGACUUAUAGUAGCAUAUGUUGAAUGUGACAGUAUGAUGAUCAUAAUAAAAAUUAUAUUUAAAUUUGUGGUUAAGAAAAUACUAUUUUUUCCUUGAAAUAUAUAUAUAUAUAUAUAUAUAUAUAUAUAUAUAUAUAUAUAUAUAUAUAUAUAUAUAUAUAUAUUUGAAGUUCAAUAAAUAGUAUAGUAAAUGAGAGAGGAUUUGAGCAUUCAACGAAUGAUGACUUGUGUUGAUCAAAUACAAUUUAGGAAUAUAUAUGUACAAAGUCAUUGUCAAUAGUCAAUACAUGGUUAGUUGUAACAGAAAAAUCAAAUUAAUAGACUAUAACUAACUAACUCUAACUAACCAAUCAUUACAAAAGUUUAUUAAUGUUGACAUACUUUUCACCCCCUCUCUAAGGAAAGAGUUGGUGUUUUUGGCUUCCAACUUGGAAAUAAACUAAUGAUUUAAGUUUGUUUGCGAGUUUGAAGGAAAGGGAGGGGAGGGGUUUGGAAAAAAAAAAACGAGUAAGUAGAAGAAUAGAUGACAUUGUCUUUUAACCCCCUCUCUAGGAAAAGAGUUGGUGUUUUUGGUUCUAACUUGAAAAUAAACUAGUGAUUCAAGUUUGUUUGCGAGUUUGGAGGGAAGGGAGGGGAGAGAUUUCAAAAGAAAAAAAAAAAACGAGUAAGCAAAAGAAUAUAUGACAUUGUGAGGGGAAGACUUUGGGGGAUAAUUUUUCUUUAUAAUUCAAAAUCCUUCUCCUUUGAGGAAACUUCAAAAUUGUAUUGUAGUAGUGAUUUUGGCUGUUUUGGAGGGUUUACAUGAAUUCUUCAAAUCUAUAGUAUGUAGUUAUAAUAUUCUUAAAAUUAAAAAUAUAUUAAGGGUCUUGCUAUCCAGUGUCCUAAGGACAAUGGUUAAGGAAUCUAUAAGUAAAACUUUUGUCUUGGAAAUAUAAACUAUUGCAAUUGACCAAGUAAUAAUUACACUGUUUUUUAUUAAAAACUUGUUAUUGUUGAAUUAUGGUGUGAUGCUAAAAACUUUGAUCUAAGAAUUAACAUCCAUCCACACAAGUUAAUGUUACCUAAGUUGGACGCUAACAUUAAAUUAUAUUUGAUCCAAGACGGUGACACUAAAUCAGGGUCAAUUAAUUGUUAAAAUUGGUAUUUUUAUUUAUUUUUGUAUUAUUUACCAGUAAAAUUUAGUAAUAAUCAAAUAUAUGUUCAAGAAGAACAAUGAGAGGUAAGAGAUAAACAACAAAACAACUGACAAUGUAUAUAGGCAAAUUACCCAAAAGAAAACUCAUAAAAAUACCAAUAUAGACUCUACCCAACGGAGGGCCACAUCACCAACACCAAUACAAAUUCCACCUAACUGCGAGCCACCAUCAACACCAAUAAAAAAAAUAACCACCGAAAUCAAAGUCAACACCUAAAUCAAAACCAAACCCCUAAAUAAUCGUCGAAACCAAACUUCAGCGAAAAUCACAAAGGAUAUUGUGAAUGGCCACAUGCACAAAUUCCAAACCGUUGUCAUCCGGUACUCACAAAAAUUUCUAUAAAAAAACCAUCAAACCAAUCAAAACCCUGCGAGCAGAUACCCAUCUUCUCAUCACUAUAGCUAAGUCCAAUUAAACACCCGAAAAUGUCUUAUUCCACCACUCAUUUAGAUUCCACUACCAAAAAUUUGAGUCUAGAAAACAGACUCUGAUCUCGAAUCAAAAGUGAUCGGUCCACCAUACGCGAAAUCACUAAAACACUCCUUAGUUUCUGGUCCAUCAGAGAAGACACCAUAAUCAACCGAAAAAACAUGAAACUAGACACUAAUUCUCGAUCUCGAAGUAAAAGCGAUCAACUCAACAAAAUCCAAGAAAACAAAUUCCUAAAGGAAGUCAACAAUUAGAGCAGUAGCGUAAACAGAACAAACUCAAAAAGAAGAGUGUUGUGAAUCUUACAACUAGUCAUAGGCUAUUAUAGGAAUCUCCAUGUGGGUAGAUGUGGGAUCAUUGUAUAUAUUGUGAAUCAUUUCAUGUAAACUUUCUACUUAUAAUAGUUGCAUCUAAUGAAGUUUGGCUGUUGCACAUACCACUUUAGUGAAAUCAUUUGGUUGAGAAAAUUAUUAAAAUGAUCACAGGUCGAUUAUUCACCCACACUUCUAUAUCGUGAAAAUCAAAAUGCUCUUCAUCUCCAAGCAAAUCUCAUUUUUCAUGAAGAACCAAACACAAUGAUAUGGAUUGUUAAAUACGCUAACACUCGCAAUUAAACAACCACGAGCUAAGAUUUUCACAAAACUCAGUUAAGUACUAAGCCCUUCAUGCACAUAAUAUUCAAGUUAUGUAAUCACAAUCGCCAUACUCCAACUUGAGAGGGACUAAUAGUGACACUACUUGAAAAAGCAAAAUUAGGGAUGGAAAUUAGUGACGAAAAAAUAAAAUCCCUCCUAAAUUUUUUGGUCGCAAAAUUUAGUGACAAUUAGAGAUUGAUGUCACGUUUUCCCUCUUUAAAUUUCCCUCACUAAUUUUUGCUUUUUUAAUAAUGCGAAUUGGCCAUAAAAGGAUUUCUUAUGCAAAAAAAUUCAGUUUUCAUUUAAAUUUCACUUAGAUAUUAAGAUGGACAUAAGUUUGAUAUAAUAAUAGAUAGUUAUCACUCAUCUUUUAGUUUUCUUAUCUCUUUGCAAAUUGUGGACAUAUGGUUAAUUACUCAUCUUUUAGUGUAUAUGAGAAGGACAAUUUAUCUUUGGCAAUUGAACUCAGGCGGCUUCUAGCGUGGGAGACUAAAUCAGGUCUCUCACCGUGAGUGACCGUGUUUAAACCGUUGGAUGUACCUCAAAAUCAACAUGCGGUCCAGAUUGCUUACCAAGGACCUGUUGCUACAGUACCUAGUAGGUGAAUUGCAAAUUGUACUUUUGCAUGUGAUUUUACCCAUAACUAAAAUUUGAGAAUUACACAACUUGCCCUAAUGGAUAGAAUAUUUAUAAAUACCUCCGGUCUUAAAUAUUUAAAGUAAACGUGAUAUAACUCUUUUUAUUAUUAUUUAUAACCUUUAUUUUACAGAUAAAUUUAUUUAACAACUUAAAAAAAAAUCAGACUUAACAAAAUAUAACGUGAGACAUGAUCAAUGGUCAUGGUAAUCUUUUCACACACAAUUUCUUGACCACUCUUUUCUUUCUUCUUUAUCUUCUCUCCUUUUUCUGGUUUCCUUCCCAUUACCAUCCAUCCUUACUAUCAACAUGUCCAGCAUCAUAAGUUCUUUACACCCAACACCAGUGUUCAUGGCACCAUUAAAAAAUAUUUUGCUGAUAUCUAGUAUUCAUUGAAGAACAACAACAACUUAAAAAAUAUUUUUCUGAUAUCUAGUAUUCAUUGAACAACAACAAAAACGGCAAUAAAUCAAUUUUUUAUUUCCAGAACCAUUUUUAAAUCAAGAGCGUUUUUAUCCAUAACUGAAGUUGAGUUUUGUUGAAACUAAUCAAAAUUAUUUCAAUUUUGAGUGUUUAAAGAUGCAAAAAAUUGCUUGAAAUCACAAAGAAAUGGUAUUUGGUUCGUGAGUCUAGGUUAAAAUUGAGUUUUUGGUGUUAAAAUGGCUUAAAGUUAUGGUUUUCUCUUUCGGGUCAUAAAACGGGUCGUUACGACCCGUCUGGAGGUUGAAGAUGCAGGUAAAAAAAAUUAAUAAAAAGACAUUGAUGCAACAAAAGUAUCGAACAGACAACCUUGAUCAUCAAAGUAUCCAAUUUACACCAACUGUGCCAAGCAUUUUUCUUAAUACCAAUUGAUUUCAAAUCAAUUCAUAUUUAAUCCGUAAACGUAAUGUAAAUUGAGACCCUGCAUUUAUGGUCCCUGCAUAUUUAGCAAACUCAUGUGUAUCAUUCAAAAUUUAAAAUUAUUUUUUGAACUCUUAUUUAAUACAUUAUAAAAUUAUCUCCUGCAAUAGUUUAAUUUUUUUUAAAAAGGGAUGAAUUUUAUAUGAAUUUUAAAUUUUGAGCGCUUGAAAAUUCACAUUUAUUUCAUAUCUUGUAAAAAUAAUCUAAUUUUAAGCGCUUUGUAAAUUUUUUUCUUUUUGGCAUAAGUCAAUCUGACAAACUUUCACUUUAGAAACCUAGUUAAAAAUGACAUUCCUCCUCCGACCAAGACGGACUUAAUUAACUAACGGUUAGUUUGAUAUGAUCUAAAUGAAUUAAGAACGAAGUAAGAAUUAAAAUUUCGGCAAUCUAAAUAUUUCAUAUAAGUUAAUCCGACAAACUAUUCCUUCAGAAAAGUAGUCAACUUGGUCGAAAUCUUUUAUAUAAAUUUUUAAUAUCACACACACCCUUAGGUCACUAUUAUAAGCAAAAAUUUAUAUUUUAAAUUCAUUUAAUUUAAUAAAUAAUGUAUACGGUCUUUAUUAAAUACCACAUACAACAAUUAUUAAAUGAACAUAAAAUAUGAAUUAUUGUUUAUAAUAGUUACCGGAUGGUAUAUAUAACUGCGAGCAUUUGAUGUAAUAUAUUGCAUUAAUCAUAGGACUCUUUUAUUGCUUAAUUAAUAUAUUGAAUUAAUCAUAUCAAUUUUUUAUUGGUUAACCUUUUACAGUUAAUAAUAAUCAAAUUAUGUAAGUAUACAAUAGAAUUAGUGGUACAGUUGGUUUGAUUAGUGUCUAUUGAUGAAAAAAAUUGUCGUCGGUUCGAUACCCAUUGCCUGCAUUGUAUGAGUUUUUUUUUUUAUUUGUUUUUACUACUGCAUCUUCAACCUCUAGAAGGGUCAAAACAACCCAGUCGAAAAUCCUCGCGACCCGGAAUAGAAAAGCUAUAACUUUAUGCCAUUUUAGAAAACUCAAUUUUAAUCUAGAAUCAUGAAGCAAAUAACAAUUUCUUGUGAUUUCAAGCAAUUUUCUGCAUCUUUAAACACUCAAAACUGAAAUAUUUUUGUUUUCCAACAAAAUAUCCAACCUCAGUCAUGGGAAAUAAAGCUCUUUUAAUUUAUAAAUGGUUAUUUAAAUAAAAAAAAUUGACUUGUUGCGGUGGUUGUUGUUGUUUAAUGAAUAUUGAUGAUACCGAUGAUGGUGGUGGUAGUAACUUGUGGGAUGGUGAUGCUGGUCAUGUAGUAACAAGGAUGAAUAUCAGAAAAAAUAGUUUUUACCAGUGCCAUGAGCACUAUUGUUGUGAUGAUGGUGCUCGAAAGAGAUGCAGGGAAAUCAGAACAAGGAGAGAAUAAAGAAGAAGGAAAAUAAUAAUUAAAGGUAGUAACUUAUUUGGUUUUUUAAAUAAUAAAAAAAAAGGGGGGACAUGCCAAUUUCGUAAAUAAAAAAACUCGAGUGAAAUAUUUAUAAUUAACUUAGAUGGAUCAAAAGUAUAAAUAGCAAAAAUAAUAUAAAACUAUUAAAACUAGUGGUGACCUGCAAUUGCAGGUUUUUUCUCCCCUCCCACCGUGAGAGACCUGAUUUGGUCUCCCACGCUAGCCUGAGCCUUGAACUCAUGAUAAGAUUUAUAUACACCACAAUUUGAUUUCAAUUAAUGUACAUUAGUUAUGACAUACACUGAAGGGAAUGCAGUGUCAAUUUGGCCAACUACGCAUAUAACAAUGCACACAAAAAUUUUCAUACAUCAUAAAAUUGAAAUAUGUUAAUUAUAUUGAAACAACCAUUCCACGCAUAUCCAUUUAAUUUCCUACACCGUAUCUCAUAUAUUCCUACUUUCUCUUUGUAAAUAAAAUAAAAGAGAGAUGUCUAAUUAAUACAUUUAGGUUUCCACAUACCAUAGAGUCAUAUAUAACUCCUAAGAACUGUCACUACCGUCCUAUGAAAAAUGCUAUAUAAUGUGAUGAUGCCAUAUCAAAGUAAUGCAACAUUUUUAUUGUUUUAAAAACUCUCCUUCCUUCUCCAUUAUUGAUAAGAGCUUCUCAUUUAGAAUAUGAGAUUCUAAUAUCUGUGUUUUAUCCACCUGCAGAAAACCCAAAAAGAGCUUUUAAUUAAAUAAAAUUAAUUGUUGCACCCCUUUUAUGAGUCUAUACAUCGUGAGAAAAAAUUAGCUUUUAAAUUAUUUUUUUAUUUCUUCUCAAGUUAUUAAUUAUUUGUAUAAUAAAAUAUAGUUUUCAUAAUUUCUUAUAUUUUGAGUUCUUAACAUAAUAUUCUGAAAAUAAUUUAAUGAUCAGCAAAGUUUUAAAUAUGCAUCUAAGUGUAUUUCUAAAUUUAACAUUUUUUGAAAAUAAUUUUAUAAUGAAUAUAAUAAACUAACAUCAUAAUUAUAUAUGAUGCUUCAAAAAACCAAAUCAUGAUUAUAUAUGAGCAAAAUAGUCUUUUUUUUUUUUUUUUUUUUUGAGGGAGAUGAGCAAAAUAGUUAUUAAGCUUAUUUUAUAAUUUAAAAAAAUAAUAGAAAAAUGUCGAAAUAAAUAAUCAAGCCUAGUGAAAUUAACACACCUGGAAAUGCAAAUUAUAGAAGACCCUCCCUCCAAAGGUCUUUGAUGAAGAAACAUUAAGCAGCAAAAGGCCAUCAUUUUCCAAACAAAUCAAGAUCUCAGAAAGUGGAAUCUUUUGGACAGUGUAACAUGAAAUCUGAAUGGUAAUUUCACUAUCAUUGAGCCUACUACUUGAAACUACAAAACCAGAGUUGUAACUAUGCUUCUUCCUUUGAGAUUCUUUGCUUAGAAUAAACUCUUCUACUUGUGGAGAAAGUCCCAAUAAGAUCUCAUCCUUUCUCUUAAUUAGUCCCUCUACUUGAUUCUGUAAUUCAGGUAUGUAUUUCAGGACUCUAGAAAUUGUUCCCGGAAUGCUUAAUUUCUUCUACAACAUAUAGGUAUACAUCAACAAAUAUAUUAAUACAAGUUGCGAUUGCAAAGUUAGGUUUUAAUUGAAAAAAAAAAAUCAAAAAAUGAACAAAAGCAAAGUAGACAAACAAAAUACGACAGAAAGGAAUUAAUUAAGUACCAUUUGAUCAGAAACAGGAAGGAGUGAUCGAAGUGAUGAAUACAAAUUAUUGAUCUUCUUGCGGCGAUCGCGUUCACUGGCAUUAUGAACAAGCUUCUUGACCAUGCUAAGGUCACUGCUUGUGGAUUGUGAGGGAUCUGUUGAAUUAAUUUCUGCCUCAACUUGAUCAUGAAAAUUAAAUAAUUGAUCAACAGUGUCUUUGUAGAAUGAAUUCUGAUGCUGGUUAUGGCUUAAAGGCUCCUCAAAGGGCCAUCCAAUUGUUGAAAACAUAGGAGGAGAUAUCGCUAACAUAAUGUUGAUGGAGUUGUUGAAAAUAAUUGAUUAUCAAGUUAAGUUUUCUGUACAAAAAUAAGUGUGUAUGUGUGUCUAUAUAUAUAUGACCAUCAAUACAUUGCAUCCUCUAUGUAAGCAUCCUAUAUUUUAAUGUUUGAAAAAUUAAAAGUUUAACAUAUUUGUGUCCCUACCAAAUAGUCUUCAAUUAUUUUCAAUGUAUAACCAUCAUCUCUA